rnacentral:misc_RNA from 1 species
GGCGACGUGUGGAUUGUUUACACGGCGUCUCCCGCCAGCCUGGACGCGUCUCUCGGUCAGAUUUCCGUCAUAAAGACGACUUUGCCGACGACGAGGACGAUGAUGGAGGCGUUGUGAGAGCCACGUCGGCCUCCCCGGCAGCCAAGACCCGUGAGGAGACGAGUGUUGAGGUGACCUGGGCACCAGAGAGCGGCGGCUCCUCCUGCCUCAGCCUUCACCGUCCCAGCUGACGGAGGAAAUGGACGUGGUACUUCCAGUGUUUCAGCUGCUGUAUUUUGUGGCUCACUUCCUGGUCAGCCUGGCCCUCUCUGUGAUCGACACCUUUCAUGACCUUCAUCGUCUGUUGCUGCGUCUCUGCUCCUUCUUGGCCCCAACUCUCAUUCCUGCAUGUCGUCUGCAGGCAGACGCCGCUCAGCUCAAGAAGGUACCGCAACACCUUGGUCUGAUAUUAGUUGCGCAUCAGACACACCAAAUAUCCCAGUUGUCGACUGUCAUCUCCUGGGCCGUCGCGUAUGGUGUUCGCUUCGUGUCGCUAUAUGAUGCUCAUGGCAUUUUGAAACGCAACAAGCCAGUGAUCUUGAAGGCUCUUGAGGAAAGUAACUCUGACAUUAUGUAUAAUGUUCUCUCUUAUGACCAGGACUGCAAGCCGGAGAAAGACACGGUGGCUGGCAAGUGUGUCAAGACGGACACCACAACUGUACAUCAAGAGGUAACAGUCAAUCUUUUGAGUCAGGAAGACAGCAGAGGAAACUUGGCGAGUGUAGCCAAAAGGUUGUCAAAAACGGGUUGCAAGAUAACUGCAUCAACAAUAGAGUCACACUUGGUGACGAACGGUCAACCCGACCCAGACGUCGUUAUCACUGUAGGAGAAACAUUUGCCACUUUUGCUUUCCUUCCAUGGCAGAUUAGACUUGCUGAAUUUUUUGUCACAUCCUCUUUAAGUAGGUUUGAAUAUAGUGAUUUCCAAACUAUCCUGAAAAAAUACUCUAGAUGUGAACAAAGAUUAGGGAAGUAGAAGUUUGGUUUGCAAAUAUUAUGUAGUGUACUUAAGAAGUCAACUCAGGUCAUCUUAGACACGUAACCACAGUAUAUGCGACCUUCCAUGUCAGUAGACCACUCACAUAUGUUUGUGUUUUUAAGUAUGUUGAGCGAGAGUUAAUGAUGGUCGAUUCAUUCGAUCUCACUGUAGUUGCAGUUGUGCAGCAACGAAAAGUAGUCGUUUAAUAUUUUCCUGCUCAUGCGUCAUCAUUCCAUCCUGUGUAUUUAGGUUACUGGUGCAUAGUUUCUAAUGGCUGUACGAACUGACACGCCAAACGAAAAUAAUUUGUCUGGUUGUCGUAGCCACGAUCAGUAUCUAACGACAAUUCAAGAAUUGUAGUUCUCUCUCUAUAGCAUUAAAUUUUGUAGCAAGUUCCUGUUAACAGGAUGUGAAUCUUACUUAAAGUCAAAGAUUGCCCCACUAACACUUGCUGCAGCUUAUCAGUCUGUGAUCAAACUAUUCGAGUCUUCCCCCCUGACUAAUGGGACGCAACAUGCAUCUCUGUGGACAAAAUAAAGAUAUAAAGAAUGCGGUUACAUAAACCACACAUUAUAUUUUUGCAUUUGGCUGUAGUUGCAGUUUGCUCUGCAAAUUUGACCGUGUUGUAGGGUGUGUAGGGGUUAAGUUGCGGUCUACUCUGUGAGAUGACCGUGUUGUAGGGUGUAGAGGUUAGGUUGCAGUCCACUCUGUGAGUUGACCGUGUUGUAGGGUGUGUAGUGGAUAAGUUGCAGUCCACACUGCAAGUUGACCAAGUUGUAGGGUGUGUAGGGGUUUAAAAAAAAAAGUGAUAGUCUCUCAUCAAUAACAAUUCAAAAUUAUGUUACAAGAAGGUGUGGCGGAAAUGCGGGAUAAAUCUACAGCCACAAAGUGACGUUAUCUGUAGCCCCUAAGUACAUUUGGUAUGCCCAAAAUGGUAUAUUUAUUUUGCUAUGUGUGUGUGUGUGUACAAUAUGAAAAAGACAGAUAAGACGAACCAUUUGGCAUCAUCAACUGGGAUUUUGACUAGAAAGCAUGAAUUUUUGUAUGCUUUUUAAGGUGUGAGAGGUUCUUCUGUAUGUGCCGUUGCCAUCAGUAUUCUCAAGGGAACAAAGAAAUAAAUGGUUUUGAAAAUUUGCACGCUAAAUUUCUUUCCGAGUUUAAACUCCACAUUUUUGCCGAAGUUUGCACAAUAUUCAUUCGGCAGAGAUAAAUAUUUGUUUUUUGUUUUUAUUGCUCUGAUGAUAAUUUUGUGCUUGUAUACUUUUCAGUAUGAAGUAAUUAAGUCUGAAAGCUCAGCAAGUUCAUUGUUGAUCUAUUAAUUCCUCCAUCAUUACCCUACUACCUCACUCGCUCUAGAAACUCCAGUUUUGAGCAGUCAUGGUGGGUAAGCCUCUUGCUGCCCCAUCAAGCGCACCCCUCGGCCUCCUUGCUUGCCCCAUCAAAUGCACCCCUCGGCCUCCUUGCUGCCCCAUCAAACGCACCCCUCGACCUCCUUGCUUGCCCCAUCAAACGCGCCCCUCGGCCUCCUUGCUUGUCCCAUCAAGCGCACCCCUCGGCCUCCUUGCUGCCCCAUCAAACGCACCCCUCGACCUCCUUGCUUGCCCCAUCAAACGCGCCCCUCGGCCUCUUUGCUUGCCCCAUCAAGCGCACCCCUCGGCCUCCUUGCUUGCCCCAUCAAAUGCACCCCUCGGCCUCCUUGCUGCCCCAUCAAACGCACCCCUCGACCUCCUUGCUUGCCCCAUCAAACGCGCCCCUCGGCCUCCUUGCUUGCCCCAUCAAGCGUGUCCCUCGGCCUCCUUGCUGCCCCCAUCAAACUCGCCCCCUUGGCUCUCUUGGCUGUGGACACGGUGGUCAACUCCACCAGAUACACGCUCACCAUUUCUCUUAUUUGUUUAUAUACAAAGAAGGUACAGUAUCUGAUUUAUGAUUUUCCCACUGUGUUUUGUGGCAUAGGGCUCUUCCCUCCCCACAGCUCAUCUUAAGCCAUAUCCUACCAGUUUUCCCAGAACAUGAUCUGCUAAUCAAUUUACACCUAGGUCCCUAAUUGCAGUUGGAUGAUGAAGGGAACAGUUUAUGGAUCGGUGGUGAGCCAUUACUCCCGGUGUUGGGUUUGAGCUCCUGUGUCAUACUUUAUUCAAAAGUAGAACAAUGAAACACCUAACUUCAUCAUCAUAUAGUAUCCAGCCUUGUGCUACUAGCUCAGCCAGUGUUGUACUCUGGAAAUGCAACAUCAUCUCUCUAAUUUAUUUUAUCGCCAAUUUAUUCUCGCAUAGUAAUUGCAGUCCCCGUGGUGCAGUGGUAAAACACUGGCUCGGCGCUUCAUGAGCGCAUUGGCCUGGGUUGGCAUCCUGGCCGGAGAAGAUUUAUUGGGUGCCAAUCCUUUACUGUACACCCAGCAGUGUAUGGGUACCUGGUUGUUACACGAUUUGGCGAGUCGUUUACCGUGGAAAAUUAGGGUUAAUGACCUGCCCGAAAAGCAACGCGUGCUAGUGGCUUUACAAGAAUGUAAGAACUCUUGUACAGUAUAUAUAAAUGUGAAUUCAAAUUCUACUAUCUUUACAUUUAUUUUUUAUUAAAUUUUAAUUAUUUCACCUAGUUUUAAUUUCACAGCACAUUCUAGUUUUAACUUGAGAAUCUGCCCAGAAUGCUGUACGUGUUAGUGGCUUUGCAACAAUGUGCCACUUAAUCGCCAACAUGUACUUUCUCAACCCAUUGUACCUUCUUAUAUAUAUAUAGGUAAAUAAGGGAUGAUUGGGCAUCGAUCCUUAAUUAUUUGUUCUUCUGAAAGAUAUUUAAUUUCUUCUUGUAUGAGGUUUAUCUGCCAGCUUCUCUUGCAUUGGAAUGAGGUGCCACAGGCACAGUUGGAAAACGCUGUACGAAUAUCAACGUCUCGUGGCUCUUCAACCUUCUUUCACCAAGUAGGAGAACUUUUUUAGGAAGAAAAUCAAGCUUAUUUUUUUCCAGUAGGCAUUUGGACACAUACCAGCUAGAUGUGCUGUCUCAGCUGGAGUAUAUUGGAAAAUGUGGGCCUCCCUGCAGGCUGUUGAUGGAGCAAGUUAUUACCAUACAAGCUUGUCCCCAUGCUGGGGACAAGCUUGUGACUUGCGAUCACAAGCUGGACUUGUGAUCCUGUGGUCCUGGGUUCGAUCCCAGGCGCCGGCGAGAAACAAUGGGCAGAGUUUCUUUCAUCCUAUGCCCCUGUUACCUAGCAGUAAAAUAGGUACCUGGGUGUUAGUCAGCUGUCACGGGCUGCUUCCUGGGGGUGGAGGCCUGGUCGAGGACCGGGCUGCGGGGACACUAAAGCCCCGAAAUCAUCUCAAGAUAACCUCAAGAUGCUGGGCUUUGAAAGUAUAACAAAGUAUAAAGUAUAACAAUUAUGAAGGCAGAUCACAGGUAAAGACUCUUGUAGGAGUUGUUGCAACGAGGCAUCUAGAAUUGUAUUAUUACUUUCCUUUACAUUUAAAAUGUAAUUGUGUUUAUUAUUUAUUUAAAAUAUUAAGUAGUAGUUUUAAAAUCAUUUGUUGUUUAAUACACUCUCGAUGGGUUGUGGCUGUAAACUAAUUAUAUUUGUGCAUGCGAGACCAAUAACCAAUUAUUUAUAAUAUUAUGAUUAUUUUAUUGGAAAACAAUUAAGUGCUGAUUAUACAGCACUCUUCAUAUCCGUAAUUAUAAGUAAAUUUUUGCACUUUACAAGAUAAUUUGCUUACAAGUGUCUUGCUGGUGCACACUUGUAAGACUGGUGCAGGUACUCUCAACGAUACACUGUAGAAGACUGGUGUAGGUACUCUCAACAAUACACUGUAGAAGACUGGUGUAGGUACUCUCAACGAUACACUGUAGAAGACUGGUGUAGGUACUCCAAUACACUGUACUUGACUUGUGUAGGUACUCAACGAUACACUGUAGAAGACUGGUGGAGGUACU